rnacentral:rRNA from 1 species
UGGGGAAUAUUGGACAAUGGGCGAAAGCCUGAUCCAGCAACGCCGCGUGAGGGAUGACGGCCUUCGGGUUGUAAACCUCUUUCAGCAGGGACGAAGCGAAAGUGACGGUACCUGCAGAAGAAGCACCGGCCAACUACGUGCCAGCAGCCGCGGUAAUACGUAGGGUGCAAGCGUUGUCCGGAAUUAUUGGGCGUAAAGGGCUCGUAGGCGGUCCAUCACGUCGGGAGUGAAAAGCUGGGGCUUAACUCCAGUCCUGCUUCCGAUACGGGUGGACUAGAGGUAGGUAGGGGAGAACGGAAUUCCUGGUGUAGCGGUGAAAUGCGCAGAUAUCAGGAGGAACACCGGUGGCGAAGGCGGUUCUCUGGGCCUUACCUGACGCUGAGGAGCGAAAGCAUGGGGAGCAAACAGGAUUAGAUACCCUGGUAGUCCAUGCCGUAAACGUUGGGCGCUAGGUGUGAGGGACAUUCCACGUCCUUUGUGCCGCAGCUAACGCAUUAAGCG